rnacentral:rRNA from 1 species
UACGUAGGGGGCAAGCGUUGUCCGGAUUUAUUGGGCGUAAAGCGCGUGUAGGCGGCCAGGUAGGUCCGCUGUGAAAACUCGAGGCUCAACCUCGAGACGUCGGCGGAAACCAUCUGGCUAGAGUCCGGAAGAGGAGAAUGGAAUUCCUGGUGUAGCGGUGAAAUGACAUAGAUACCAUAAAGAACACCUAUUGCGAAGGCAGCUUACUAGCUGUAACUGACGCUGAGGCACGAAAGUGUGGGGAUCAAACAGG